GAUGAACGCUGGCGGCGUGCUUAACACAUGCAAGUCGAACGAGAAGUGAAGACGGAAACCUUCGGGCGGAAGGCUUUAUUUCGAGUGGCGGACGGGUGAGUAACGCGUGGGUAACCUGCCUCAUACAGGGGGAUAACAGUUGGAAACGACUGUUAAUACCGCAUAAGACCACAGCACCGCAUGGUGCGGGGGUAAAAACUCCGGUGGUAUGAGAUGGACCCGCGUUCGAUUAGCCAGUUGGCGGGGUAACGGCCCACCAAAGCGACGAUCGAUAGCCGAUCUGAGAGGAUGACCGGCCACAUUGGGACUGAGACACGGCCCAAUCUCCUACGGGAGGCAGCAGUGGGGAAUAUUGCACAAUGGGGGAAACCCUGAUGCAGCGACGCCGCGUGAGUGAAGAAGUAUUUCGGUAUGUAAAGCUCUAUCAGCAGGGAAGAAAAUGACGGUACCUGAGUAAGAAGCCCCGGCUAACUACGUG
rnacentral:rRNA from 1 species